rnacentral:misc_RNA from 1 species
AAGUCGUAACAAGGUCUCCGUUGGUGAACCAGCGGAGGGAUCAUUAACGAUACCCUGGAUUCUCCAGUCUUACACCUGUUUACCUACUUUUGUUGCCUCGGCGGGCCGCUACCGCCCGCCGCAGGCCCCGAAAACCCCACUAGCAGCCGCCGUCCGUCUGACUUGGUGAAAAGAAAAUGAACUAAAAACUUUCAACAACGGAUCUCUUGGCUCCG